rnacentral:rRNA from 1 species
GAUGAACGCUGGCGGCGUGCUUAACACAUGCAAGUCGAACGAAGCACUUUUAUUUGAUUUCUUCGGAAUGAAGAUUUUAGUGACUGAGUGGCGGACGGGUGAGUAACGCGUGGGUAACCUGCCUCAUACAGGGGGAUAACAGUUAGAAAUGACUGCUAAUACCGCAUAAGACCACAGCACCGCAUGGUGCAGGGGUAAAAACUCCGGUGGUAUGAGAUGGACCCGCGUCUGAUUAGGUAGUUGGUGGGGUAACGGCCUACCAAGCCGACGAUCAGUAGCCGACCUGAGAGGGUGACCGGCCACAUUGGGACUGAGACACGGCCCAAACUCCUACGGGAGGCAGCAGUGGGGAAUAUUGCACAAUGGGGGAAACCCUGAUGCAGCGACGCCGCGUGAGCGAUGAAGUAUUUCGGUAUGUAAAGCUCUAUCAGCAGGGAAGAAAAUGACGG